CCUACGGGUGGCUGCAGUGGGGAAUAUUGGACAAUGGGCGAAAGCCUGAUCCAGCCAUGCCGCGUGUGUGAAGAAGGCCUUCGGGUUGUAAAGCACUUUCAGUGGGGAAGAAAGCCUUGGGGCUAAUACCCUCGAGGAAGGACAUCACCCACAGAAGAAGCACCGGCUAACUCCGUGCCAGCAGCCGCGGUAAUACGGAGGGUGCGAGCGUUAAUCGGAAUUACUGGGCGUAAAGCGCGCGUAGGCGGUCUGAUAAGCCGGUUGUGAAAGCCCCGGGCUCAACCUGGGAACGGCAUCCGGAACUGUCAGGCUUGAGUGCAGGAGAGGAAGGUAGAAUUCCCGGUGUAGCGGUGAAAUGCGUAGAGAUCGGGAGGAAUACCAGUGGCGAAGGCGGCCUUCUGGACUGACACUGACGCUGAGGUGCGAAAGCGUGGGUAGCAAACAGGAUUAGAUACCCUGGUAGUC
rnacentral:rRNA from 1 species